rnacentral:rRNA from 1 species
UACAGAGGGUGCAAGCGUUGUUCGGAAUUAUUGGGCGUAAAGGGCGCGUAGGCGGUGCCACAAGUCACCUGUGAAAUCUCCGGGCUUAACUCGGAGCCUGCAGGCGAAACUGUGGUGCUGGAGUGUGGGAGAGGUGCGUGGAAUUCCUGGUGUAGCGGUGAAAUGCGUAGAUAUCAGGAGGAACACCUGUGGCGAAAGCGGCGCACUGGACCACAACUGACGCUGAGGCGCGAAAGCUAGGGGAGCAAACAGG